UGAGGAAUAUUGGGCAAUGCCCGCAAGGGUGACCCAGCAACGCCGCGUGGAGGAUGAAUGUCGUAAGAUUGUAAACUCCUGUUAGAGGGGAAGAAUAGUACCGGUUGGACCGGUAUAAGACUGUACCCUCAGAGAAAGCCCCGGCUAACUACGUGCCAGCAGCCGCGGUAGUACGUAGGGGGCAAGCGUUGUCCGGAUUUACUGGGUGUAAAGGGCGCGCAGGCGGGAUAAAAAGUCAGUGGUGAAAUCCUACAGCUUAACUGUAGAACUGCCUUUGAUACUUUUAUUCUUGAGUUCGGGAGAGAGAGACGGAAUUCCAGGUGUAGUGGUGAAAUACGUAGAUAUCUGGAAGAACACCAGUUGCGAAGGCGGUCUCUUGGUCCGACACUGACGCUGAGGCGCGAAAGCGUGGGGAGCAAACA
rnacentral:rRNA from 1 species